rnacentral:rRNA from 1 species
CCUACGGGAGGCUGCAGUGGGGAAUUGUUCGCAAUGGGCGCAAGCCUGACGACGCAACGCCGCGUGGAGGAUGAAGGUCUUCGGAUUGUAAACUCCUGUUGCUCGGGACGCGGUACCGAGUGAGGAAGCCCCGGCUAACUCUGUGCCAGCAGCCGCGGUAAUACAGAGGGGGCAAGCGUUGUUCGGAAUUACUGGGCGUAAAGGGCGCGUAGGCGGCCUGUUAAGUCGAACGUGAAAUCCCUGGGCUCAACCCAGGAACUGCGUCCGAUACUGGCAGGCUUGAAUUCGGGAGAGGGAUGCGGAAUUCCAGGUGUAGCGGUGAAAUGCGUAGAUAUCUGGAGGAACACCGGUGGCGAAGGCGGCAUCCUGGACCGAAUGACGCUGAGGCGCGAAAGCCAGGGGAGCAAACGGGAUUAGAUACCCUAGUAGUC